AGCACUUGAGUGUUGUUUUGGUCAAUUGGCAGGCAAAGUCAUAGAGGACAACAGCAGCAAGAAAUCCUCUUUAGUAACCCAGGACUCACUGUUCAGGAUGAGUUUUGAUAUCCAUGAAAAAGGAGUAU